rnacentral:rRNA from 1 species
GGUAAUACGGAGGGUCCAAGCGUUAAUCGGAAUUACUGGGCGUAAAGCGCGCGUAGGCGGUUUGACAAGUUGGGUGUGAAAUCCUCGGGCUUAACCUGGGAACUGCAUUCAAAACUUUUAAACUGGAGUACGGGAGAGGAGAGUAGAAUUCAUGGUGUAGCGGUGAAAUGUGUAGAUAUAGGAAGGAAUACCGAUGGCGAAGGCAGCCUCCUGGACCAAUACUGACGCUGAGGUGCGAAAGCGUGGGUAGCAAACAGGAUUAGAUACCCUGGUAGUCCACGCCGUAAACGAUGAGAACUAGCCGUCGGGGUCCUAGAGACCUUGGUGGCGCAGCUAACGCGAUAAGUUCUCCGCCUGGGGAGUACGGCCGCAAGGUUAAAACUCAAAUGAAUUGACGGGGGCCCGCACAAGCGGUGGAGCAUGUUGUUUAAUUCGAUGCAACGCGAAGAACCUUACCACCCCUUGACAUACUUGGAAUUUUCCAGAGACGGAUUAGUGCCUUCGGGAACCAAGAUACAGGUGCUGCAUGGCU